GGUGCUAAGGUAGCGAAAUUCCGUGUCGGGGAAGUUCCGACCUGCACGAAUGGCGUAACGAUCUCCCCGCUGUCUCCAGCAUCGGCUCAGUGAAAUUGAAUUCCCCGUGAAGAUGCGGGGUUCCUGCGGUCAGACGGAAAGACCCCGUGCACCUUUACUGUAGCUUUGCGCUGGCCUUCGUGUCGGCAUGUGUAGGAUAGGUGGUAGGCUUUGAAGCCGGGGCGUCAGCCCUGGU
rnacentral:rRNA from 1 species